UACAGGGGGUGCAAACGUUGCUCGGAAUUACUGGGCGUAAGCGCGCGCAGGCGGUUUUCAAGUUCAGUGGUGAAAGCCCGGAGCUCAACUCCGGAAAUGCCAUUGAAACUGUGAAACUUGAGGAUGAGAGAGGUGAGUGGAAUUCCCGAGUGUAGAGGUGAAAUUCGUAGAUAUUGGGAAGAACACCGGUGGCGAAGGCGGCUCACUGGCUCAUUACUGACGCUCAGGCGCGACAGCGUGGGGAUCAAACAGG
rnacentral:rRNA from 1 species